rnacentral:rRNA from 1 species
AGUGAACGCUGGCGGUAGGCCUAACACAUGCAAGUCGAACGGCAGCACAGUAAGAGCUUGCUCUUACGGGUGGCGAGUGGCGGACGGGUGAGGAAUACAUCGGAAUCUACUUUUUCGUGGGGGAUAACGUAGGGAAACUUACGCUAAUACCGCAUACGACCUACGGGUGAAAGCAGGGGAUCUUCGGACCUUGCGCGAUUGAAUGAGCCGAUGUCGGAUUAGCUAGUUGGCGGGGUAAAGGCCCACCAAGGCGACGAUCCGUAGCUGGUCUGAGAGGAUGAUCCGCCACACUGGAACUGAGACACGGUCCAGACUCCGACGGGAGGCAGCAGUGGGGAAUAUGGGACAAUGGGCGCAAGCCUGAUCCAGCCAUACCGCGUGGGUGAAGAAGGCCUGCGGGUUGUAAAGCCCUUUUGUUGUGAAAGAAAAGCAGCAGGUUAAUACCCCGCUGUUCUGACGGUACCCAAAGAAUAAGCACCGGCUAACUUCGG